rnacentral:snoRNA from 1 species
CCCCUCUCAGGGUCGCACCUGGAGAGUUUCCUGGAAUCUACCAGUCUCAACUACGGGAGGGAGAGUCAAGCAGAGGCCUACCCAUUCCAUUCUUUGCUUGGCCAGUGGCUAGCGAGUGGAAGGCCAUCUGCUACAAAU